AGCUGCAGCAGAAGGAAACAGUCGUCAACUUUGCUUAAACAGUAAUGAAAGCUUUUCAUGGAUAUUGUGUUUCAUACUCUGGAAUAUUGCUGCUUGGGAUUAUUCAGGGUUUGUGUGUUCUGGCUGAUGAGAACACAGAGACAGUACGCAGGGCUACCGGGAGCUCCCUCCUGUUACCACCUGCACUCCAAAAAGAAUCUGUAAAAUAUACACUGUGGAAAUUUAAAGAGCAUUGAAUUGCUACCUAUGACAAUAAGCAAAUCCAUAUUAGUUUGAAUCCCCAGUUCACGGGAAGAUUAAAGGUGGACAAUGUUAAUCUUACUGUAGAAGUGGAAGCCCUUCAAGUUCAAGACUCUGGAACCUUCUCUAUUAUUGCAGAUGAGACUUCACAGUUUCCAACAAAGUUUACCAGUUUGAUAGUCUAUGCCUGGAUUGAAAACCUUACUAUUCAGAGUAACCAGACCUGGCUGGAUUCUAUAAAGGCCUGUGAUGUUCAUCUUUGGUGCCAAACUUCUGAAGAUCCAAGUGCGUCUUACACAUGGAGAGGGUACCAGAAUGGAAGUGAUGCUUUUCUGCACUUCACUUUCUCACC